AUUGAACGCUGGCGGCAGGCCUAACACAUGCAAGUCGAACGAGUGGCGGACGGGUGAGUAAUGUCUGGGAAACUGCCUGAUGGAGGGGGAUAACUACUGGAAACGGUAGCUAAUACCGCAUACCAUCAGAUGUGCCCAGAUGGGAUUAGCUUGUUGGUUGGGUAACGGCUCACCAAGGCGACGAUCCCUAGCUGGUCUGAGAGGAGGACAAGCCACACGGGAAUUGAGCCACGGUCCAUACUCCUACGGGAGGCAGCAGGGGGGAAUAUUGAACAAGUGGCGCAAGCCUGAUGCAGCCAUGCCGCGUGUAUGAAGAAGACCUUCGGGUGGUAAAGUACUUUCAGCGGGGAGGCGUUACCCGCAGAAGAAGCACCGGCUAACUCCGUGCCAGCCGCCGCGGUAAUAC
rnacentral:rRNA from 1 species